rnacentral:rRNA from 1 species
GGAGUCUGGGCCGUGUCUCAGUCCCAGUCUGGAUGAUCAUCCUCUCAAACCAUCUAAGGAUCGUCGACUUGGUGAGCCGUUACCUCACCAACUAUCUAAUCCUACGCAGGCCAGUCCCAAACCGCCGAAGCUUUAAUCCGAAGAUCACAUGCGGUAUUAGCCACUCUUUCGAGUAGUUAUCCCUCAGUUUGGGGUCCGUUCCCACGCGUUACUCAGCCGUCCGCCGCUCGUCAGCAGCUUCACUGUGCUCUCGAAAACUAACCUCCCGCUAAAAAGCCCGGAGUGUCAAGAACACGGUGAAGCCCUGUUACCGCACGACUUGCAUGUAUUAGGCACGCCGCCAGCAUUCAUC